AUGGGGACGUAUAUCCUACCGGAGGGCGUCCACAGUGCCUUCGAUAAGGAUCUCGCUAGGUUCUUUUGGCAGGCAGCCAACGGCCGCCAAAAGUAUCACAUGGUAAAGUGGGCGGAUAUUUGCAUGCCUAAGGACCAUGGUGGCCUGGGCAUUACUGCAUCCCGCCGCAUGAAUGUCGCUCUCAUGCUGAGAUGGGUCUAGCGGAUCUUAUGCGGCGAGGGAGGGCUAUGGUUAUAGCUCAUCCAGGCAAAAUACCUUAGGGGCGAGCCACUCCUAGCAUGCAACCGACCAGAGGGCUCACAAUUCCGGCGAGCCAUCCAAAUUAAGGAUUAA
rnacentral:rRNA from 1 species